CUCAGGUUAGUUAGAUCAGUGA
rnacentral:siRNA from 1 species